GCAAACUUGGUCAUUUAGAGGAAGUAAAAGUCGUAACAAGGUUUCCGUAGGUGAACCUGCGGAAGGAUCAUUAUUGAAUAUACUUGAUGGGUUGUGGCUGGCCCUCCGGGGCAUGUGCACACUUGUCUUGCUUUUAUUCAUCCACCUGUGCACCUUUUGUAGUCUUUGUGGGGAUUGAGUCACCUUGUCAGAUUGGGUUCUGGACUUGAAGAGUGCCUGUGGGCUCUUUUCUAUAGACUUUUCUCUCCCAAAGUGCUAUGUCUUUCAUAUACCACAUAGUAUGUUGUAGAAUGAUAAAUGGGAUAUAAUGAUAUACAACUUUCAGCAACGGAUCUCUUGGCUCUCGCAUCGAUGAAGAACGCAGC
rnacentral:misc_RNA from 1 species